GGGGGCAUGGCUCAGGGAUAGAGCAUUGGCUGCAGAUCAAGAGGUCCCUGGUUCCAAUUUAGGUGCUCCCU
rnacentral:tRNA from 1 species